AGUUGGGUCAACCCAUUUUCCCUUGGUAUUUAAAGAAAAUGAAACCCUAGAAGCCUCAUUUUUUUUCCCCUCAUUUCAGAUUUUAGAGAGAGGAAAAAGAGAGAGAAAUUUAGAGAGAAGAAGGAGAAAAUCAACCAAUUUUAAGGCCCCGAAUCCUAAAGCUCGUGAAGGAUAAAGUGUAGUACGAGUUGUGGUCGUCAUUUUAAGCUAAAGAUCGGGCUUGGGAGUGUUGAUUUCGUGGUGACUACCCAAAAGAUUGAAGUUGAAGGGGGUGAAGGACAUUGUGAUACGCUCAAAAGCGGAAGGUUAAGGUACGGAUUUACAGGACGACGCUUCUGAUCAUUAGGAUUUGCUCGUGCUAGCUUAUUGGUGAGCCCCAUUUCAUUCGGGGUUUUAAGCAUUGUCUUCUCUAUGUAGUUUUGCAUGUAAAGGUAUGCUGGGGGCCUUGUCCCAGUACGUAUGACUUCCAGUCCAAACUCAAAAUAGAGGUUUCAUAGACUAGACAAAUCAGUUAUGUCAUGAUAGACAUUUGAAGUCAUAUGGACAUUUGGGCACACUCAUGUUUAAACAAGUACUUUAUUAUGUAAUAUGACCUAUUAUGUUGUACAAAGGUUCAUCAUGCAUUCACGUCAUAUUCCGCUUAUAAUAUGAAAUCAUGUUAGUUCAGCAAGUCAUGUGGUUCGCUCGGUCACAUGUAGUCAGGCACCGAGUGCCGUGUUACGUCCAGGCCAUGGUUCGGGGCGUGACAAAGCUUGGUAUCAGAGCCUAGGUUCAAGUGUCUUUAGGGAGUCUAUGAAACCGUGUCUAGCGGGGUCUCUUUUAUAUGUGUGAGGGCCCCACACAUAUAAACAGUUGACCACCAGGACAUUCAGGAUUGUCUCAUUUCUUUCAUAUUCUAGAUCGUGCAAUUAGAGCAGUAUUUUUAGGAUGAUUUCCUAACUCGUGCGUAUACGUGUUUUCAGAAAAUGCCUUACAAAAGAACUUACAAGAAGAAAAACACAGCCACUAGCCAAAGGGCUGCCGCCGAAGUAGCUCACGAAGAUACUGUUCCGACUCAGGCAACAGCUCCAACCACCUCUACUGUUACA